rnacentral:rRNA from 1 species
UCAACUUGAGAGUUUGAUCCUGGCUCAGAACGAACGCUGGCGGCAGGCUUAACACAUGCAAGUCGAGCGCCCCGCAAGGGGAGCGGCAGACGGGUGAGUAACGCGUGGGAAUCUACCCAUCUCUACGGAAUAACUCAGGGAAACUUGUGCUAAUACCGUAUACGCCCUUCGGGGGAAAGAUUUAUCGGAGAUGGAUGAGCCCGCGUUGGAUUAGCUAGUUGGUGGGGUAAAGGCCUACCAAGGCGACGAUCCAUAGCUGGUCUGAGAGGAUGAUCAGCCACACUGGGACUGAGACACGGCCCAGACUCCUACGGGAGGCAGCAGUGGGGAAUAUUGGACAAUGGGCGCAAGCCUGAUCCAGCCAUGCCGCGUGAGUGAUGAAGGCCCUAGGGUUGUAAAGCUCUUUCACCGGUGAAGAUAAUGACGGUAACCGGAGAAGAAGCCCCGGCUAACUUCGUGCCAGCAGCCGCGGUAAUACGAAGGGGGCUAGCGUUGUUCGGAAUUACUGGGCGUAAAGCGCACGUAGGCGGAUCGUUAAGUGAGGGGUGAAAUCCCAGGGCUCAACCCUGGAACUGCCUUUCAUACUGGCGAUCUUGAGUUCGAGAGAGGUGAGUGGAAUUCCGAGUGUAGAGGUGAAAUUCGUAGAUAUUCGGAGGAACACCAGUGGCGAAGGCGGCUCACUGGCUCGAUACUGACGCUGAGGUGCGAAAGCGUGG